rnacentral:rRNA from 1 species
UACCCGGCUGAACUUAAGCAUAUCAAUAAGCGGAGGAAAAGAAAAUAACAAUGAUUUCCCUAGUAACGGCGAGUGAAGAGGAAAGAGCUCAAAGUUGGAACCUGUUUGGCUUAGCUAAACCGGAUUGUAAACUGUAGAAGUGUUUUCCAGACACGCCUGGUAAAAAAGUCCUUUGGAACAGGGCAUCAUAGAGGGUGAGAAUCCCGUCUUUGGCCAGAGCUGUUGUCUUUUGUGAUACAUUUUCAAAGAGUCAGGUUGUUUGGGAAUGCAGCCUAAAUUGGGUGGUAAAUCUCACCUAAAGCUAAAUAUUUGCGAGAGACCGAUAGCGAACAAGUACCGUGAGGGAAAGAUGAAAAGAACUUUGAAAAGAGAGUUAAACAGUAUGUGAAAUUGUUAAAAGGGAACCGUUUGGAGCCAGACUGGCUUGACUGUAAUCAAUCUAGGCUUCGGCCUGGAUGCACUUGCGGUUUAUGCCUGCCAACGACAAUUUUUUUUGAGGGAAAAAACUAUUUGGAAUGUGGCCCCCCUCGGGGGGUGUUAUAGCCUUUUAGAAAAUACCUUGAAUUGGAUUGAGGAACGCAGUGAAUGCCUUUAGGCAAGAUUGCUGGGCGCUUUCGCUAAUAAAUGCUAGAAUUUCUGCUUCGGGUGGUGCUAGUGUUUAAAGGAGAAACUCGCUUGGUAUAUUUUUUAUUCGCUUAGGUUGUUGGCUUAAUGACUCUAAAUGACCCGUCUUGA